rnacentral:misc_RNA from 1 species
GAGAGUAAGUAGUUCGCGGGGUAUAAUCCAUGUAUACGGGCCCGCAAUGCUGAAUGUGUAAACGUCUUUUUUAUGGGAAUAGAAAUGCAAUCUAAAUUGUGUUUUCAGAACGUAUACAAUAGGCAAGCAGGAGCCGCAUGAGUGAAAGGGUAAUGACGCGCAGAGGAGCUCAUCAUCAAAGUGUUUUUUUAACAAAUGGCUCUAUCCGAGGUGCACGAUGUAGCUACGAUUAUUAGCAACAAUCGUUUCAGUGUUGACAAGAUGAAUUUGGAAGAUGAAGACAAUCAAGAUUUAAACAAUUCAAUGGUUAAUGAUUUAGUUUCUAAAAUUCUUGACGAUGACUCUACCAUCAAUGAUCAUACGUAUAACAGUAGCUAUAAUAGCAGUUUUCCAUUUUUAUCAUUACCUCAUUUUUGCAAUGCCGAUAGAAUGGAGGAUAAUUUAAAGAUUUCCCAAAAUGAUGCCAUUGAUUGUAAUGAUCACUAUCAGCUGAACAAAUUGCUGAACAAUAGUUGUAGUUCAACUAUAAUCGAUCAAAAUUCUAGUAAUCUUUGUCAAGAGUUAAGAACGUUAAGUCUGAAUGGAUGUAUGGAACAACCUGUUAUAACAGCAGAUCAAGGAAAUUUGUACACUAGUGGAAUGAUAGGAAGCGGAUAUAAUAGUAAUUCUCAUCAAUAUGCUGUGCACUCUACCAAUGAAAGUUGCUGUAGUAUAACUAACCCAUCAGUUUGUAAUAAUUUAUUGACAUCAGAUGAAAUAAAUUAUACCAAACAGUCUUCUAGUUGGCCAGAAACUUUAAUGACUCCAGUGACUACGCAAGAUACGUUAACAAAUUAUCAACGGAUUAGAUCGUCUAUCGAUUCGGAUUUAAAUUUUAAUGAUGCUUUAAAUUUAGCUUCAGAAUCACCAAAUUUGGCUGUUAUGAAUGAAGCAGUAUACUAUAAUAACUUUAGAUCAAACGCACCUUUGAAUUUACACGAUAAUCCUACAGUUGCGACUCACGAUGUGUACAAUAUGACUGGAAAUAAUCAAACUUAUAGACCAAGCUCGGCAAUGAUAAAUCUUAACACGAAUGCUUCUUUUGGAACAAGUUCUCCGCUGCAGCAUUUCACUUCUAGCGAUAUAACUCUGCAGAAUUGUUUUGGAAAUAAUACGCAACACAAUAAUAUUGCAGAGUACAAAGAUUUAUAUGAACCUAUUAGAUUAAGUACUGGAAAUGUUACUAUGAAUAACGAACAAGUUUGCUUAUUACAUCAACAAACAUCUAAUUAUCAGUUAGAACGAUCUGUGGACCAAAACCAUAAGCAUCCAAUUGACUGUUUUCCUUGUACUAAUGAAUACACUGUGCCAUCUAUUAAUAAUUUAGACACAAAUGAGAAUAUUUGCAUUAGUAGUAACUAUGACCAUAGAACUGAUAAUAAUUUAUUAAAGAUUAUAAAUACUAAGCCAAAGACUAACGAAACAAAAAUCUACUCCUCUAUCGGUUUUCCAAAAAAUAUAAGUCCGCGAGAUGAGAAUGAGGCAAUAGUUAAAUACGAUUAUCAUAAUUAUCAACACAACAUUACAAAGAACGUGGAGAACUUGAAAACUUUGUCGCAAAACUUUACGCCGUAUCACAAGGAUUUAAAGCAAUCUCAUGUCAAUCCUGCAUACAAAAUGCAAUCAUUUGGUUCAUCUGAUAAAGUGGCUUUUACAUCAAGAAAUCGCUUGACCAAUAAAAUUAAUGAUUCUGCUCUUGGAAGAGAUGUUUUCAAUUAUGUCAUUAAACAACAUCAAAUGCCAAGUGUUCAAAAUAUAUCUAAUAUUCCACCACCUGAUAUAAUGUUUAAUUCAACGCUAAUACCAAACAUGACUACUGGAAGACCUGGAUUAUUUUCUCCAAUGAUGCCAGUUCCUGUUCCAUUUCCUAUUCCACCUAUUUAUUCUGUUUUAUAUGGUGGAGGACUCAAUCUUAAAGGCAGUAAUACCAUAGCAAGACGUACAGGUCCCUCAAGUAUAUUACAUCUUAGAUUAGAACAAACUUAUGAACAAUUUAAACAAUUAGAAAAAGAAAGAAAAAAAUGCGAGGCUGGAUUGGCUGCUCAGUUUCCUGGAAAAAGAGUAACCAGCGCAAAUAAUAUACCAAUUCCACGACUGCAAGGAAAUCCAUCAAGAGUAGAUCGGUUAAUUAUUGAUUAUCUACGAGAACAUGCCCGGGUGAUCACGUUAAUAACCAAAAUGGAGUGCUUGCGUGGAAGUUCAAUGAAUCAACGUAUACACAAGGCAAUGCAGUAUUGGCUAGAUGCAAUCAAAUUUGUUCAAGACUGUAGAAAGCAGGAGAUCGCUAAUGCUACCAAACGUCAAAAAGAAAAUCCUCACUGCAUUCUCGUAUAUAAUGAUAAUGCAUUGCUUUCGCUAAGGAGCUCGCUCAUGUGUCUAUUGGUGUAACUCGAUAUUGUUAUGGUUCUAUCAAUAUUCAAGUGCUACCCGGAUCCGUGUAGCAAAAAACAUAAUACGGAUGAUCACAGACACAACGGUUAUAUAUAUUAACUCUGGCCAACAGUGUUCAUGAAUUGACGAAGGCAUCUCGGUAUGCAAGAAGCGGUAUGUAUAAUGCAAUGCAAGCAACG